ensembl:lncRNA LINC02350 long intergenic non-protein coding RNA 2350
CCAGCCAGCUACUGAACCUUAUGUGUGCCUAGGGGCCAUUUUGAGACAAUUUGCUGAAUAUUAAAAGUACAACCAAUAAUGUUUCUCUCCACAUCCACAAUAGCGCUUAGAGGAAGCAUCUGGGAUUGAGCCAUCUCACAUCUGUCUAAUCACAUUCAUUCAAAUGUGAUGGGCCCAACUGGCCUACGUACAUGGCUGCAUAUCACCAUGGGUGGAAAUUAAAUCAGAAUUUGGCUCAGGAGAGAGAUGAAGAGAAAAUGCACGUAGAUAAUUGGCUCAGAUAACAUUCUGUUUCUGGAAGUCACAAAGAGUGGAAAUUGGAAUAUGUAAAUUAAAGAAAAACAGUCCUUAAGAUCAAGUCCGCAAUGGAAGAAGAGCAUUCAUCUGGUACAGGUUGAUGAUUGUGUAAGCCCAAGGAGUGAUGUCAACACUGGGGUUCACCUGAGAACAUGGACAUGGUUGAUGAGGGUUUAGGAGAUGCUCAUACGAAGUCUUCAUAUGUUCCCUGGAUCCCAGCUCUGCCUUCCCACCAGAGAGGAUGUAAUUCAGCCGAGAUGCCCAGAGUCAGCUCUCUGCUCAUAUCUGUUCCGCACUGAAGCCAAUCAUCUGAGAAACCUAAGAAGUGUUUAAUGUAGUUAGGAAAGUGAGGGAUGAAGACCAUAAAUUCCUUUUCAUGUAGCAGAGUAUAUAUGUGAUACUCAUUCUGUGGUAUUUGGGGCAUAAACAAGAGUCGAUGAAGGAAUGUGAAAGUACUCGAAAUCCUGACUUUUAUCUCUAUAAAAAUGGCAUAGGGAUGAAACACACUUGGUUGUUAUGACUGUACUCUUUUCAGAUUUACUACUUGCCUUUCUACUGAUUUUUCUGUGCCACAGGUCUUGACUCCUGUAGGCUAAAUUUCUCAGCCUCUUCUGCUCACUGAUAUAUGGGAAGGUUUGGCCAAAGGUGGGUGACUGGUGGGGAGAAGGAUGAGGGAAUUCAGGGGAUUGCUGAGCCCAUUCUCUAGACAGUGCUGCUGGCACUGGCUCUGUCUUCUCCGUUUCCAUCUCGCAUCAGACGGUUCUUCCCUCUAUGGGCCUAGUCCUACCUAGACACUUUCCAGUUGGAUUCCAGUUCUGGGGAUGCUCCCUCCUGCAGGGAUCUAAGUCCUUCCCAUUGUCUUCGGCUCCUGGGCUCAGCUAGAACCAUCUUUUCCCAUUGUCCCUGUGGUGCUAGGGCUUUCAGUGGUUAUUAACGUCUGUGUUGUAUCAUCUUGCCUGAAUUUCAGCUCUCUGUAACCAGUUCCCCAAAUAAAAUUCCCCCCAUUUACCUAC